rfam:Trichobilharzia regenti genome assembly, scaffold: TRE_scaffold0004115
AUCCAGUUGAUGAGUUCUAAAUAGGACGAAAUGCGCGUUGUCCUAGAU